AGCAAUGUAUGUUUUAAAACAUGUAUUCAAAGGGUUUUUACCUCCUUAGUUUAUAUUGUAGGAUCAUAAUGUGAAAAUUUGGUUUUUAUGUAGUGACAAUACUGUAGACAAUUAAAAUACGUUUACAGAAUCCACAGAUACAUGUAUAUAAACCAUUAGAGCAGUAUACUUGCAGAAAGUGGACUACUGGAAUAAAGUUGAGGAAAGUCGACUCAGUCAAGACAUGAAAAUAUGUCAAUAUUUCUAGAGACUGAGGCAGUUUGUGGACUUUGCCAUUUUGAGUUUGACUUCAACUUCUGUUGUUAUUCCCAGCGUUGAAUCAAUACUUGUUCAGAGUGUGUGUAAUAGAUGACAUGCAUACAUUAAUAUGAAAUGAGUCAUCAUUGUUUGUAAUUCAGGCAAUUAAUAUAGAUUGAUUGAUACGGUGGAAAAUGUGUACGGAAGUAGGAAUACACGUGUACAGUACAUUUACAUUAUACACAAAGAACCAGAGAGUUAAUAACUUUAAAUUGUGAGAAAAAACUUUACAUCCUUAAAUUAGUGAAUUUCAGGCCUGAAAUAUACCAAAUGAUUUACAUGUACUUCCGCAAGCCUUCUUAUUUUCUGAGCAUUAUCACUAAUAACAAUGUCUAAAUUUGUACAGACCUCUAUUAAAAGUAUGUACAUUUAUGCACUUUGAUCAGAUGAUUGGAGAGAAAAGCAAAGCAAGUAUUUUUUUAUAUUCCAACAUAAACACAUUGUGGUAUUGUGGUUAAGGUCCAAUUGUGAUUUUGCGCAUUUUGCAUGCAUUGUUGUGGUGCACAACUGUACUGUAUAUUGGAGUUAAAAAAAUAUAUUAUUAAAAUACUUUGUGAA